rnacentral:ncRNA from 1 species
CAAGCCAGAAGAGGUGCGUCGCCCAGGUAAGGUGUCGGAGGAGCCGUUUUCCGAAGAAGAUACCCGAGGGGGAGCGUCGCCGAGGUGAGAUCAGCAACGGCAUUGAUUUCAUCGACCACAGGGGCUGAAUCCCUUGGGUUGUCACCGGCUCAUUCUGCACGCAGGAUGUUCAGCAAGGUGGAGCGCUUCUGGGUGU